rnacentral:lncRNA from 1 species
GUACAUUUCUUCAUCCCUUUGAAUUCAUCUUAGGGCAAUGCACUGACCUAGAAUCUAGCUUUAACACAGUGUAGAGUAGCUUGUAGUGUUUUAAAUUCCUAACGAUGUAACACUAGUGCCCCAGCUCAUAGGAAGAGGUGGCUGCAUAUUAGAGGAAUUAUUGUGCUUGUGAACCCAGUAGACUGCGGGAGACCAUGGACUGGACAGGAUUAGAUAAAUCUGGUGUGAGAAGCUAGUGAAGGCCAAGAAACUUGACACCUAAUUACCCCCUUGAGUUUUUAGCAUCAUUCUCAGGAAAUGGAGAAAAAGACCAGUGAACCUAAGAA